GUGUUCUCGUUUUUAUGUUACGGGGUGCGCUUUGUAGACUUUUAUUUCUGUGAAGGUGCAACCUCUAGUUUCCAGUUAAAAGGCAUUAUUAAAGAAAUAAUUGCUGCUGCAUCUGAAACUGGACUGAAACCUAUAGCUCUUGUGUCAGAUCAAGGCACAAAUUAUCAAUCUGCCAUAAAUCUUUUAAUAGAAGAGACCAAAACAACUCAAUUACGUGCUGGAGAGACUUUUGAUAACACAAUCAAUUUAAGUGGAAACACAUUAAGUGUUUUUUAUGAUCCACCACAUCUGAUUAAGGGGAUUCGUAAUAACUGGCUCACCAAGGAUAUGUUAUUUGAAAGCAAACCAGCUAAGUAGCAAGAUAUUGUGGACGUGUACAAUGCUGACUGUCAGCAUGGACAAUCAAGGAUAUUACACAAGUUGACUGACCAACAUCCUGAAAUUCAUUCAGUCAUUCCUGAAAAAAUAAAAAAAUGAAGGUGAGAAAUUGUAUGCGUGCAUUAAGCAAAUCAAUAUCAGCGGAAUUAUCAUACACUUCAUGC